rnacentral:ncRNA from 1 species
UAAUUGAGGUUGGAAAUGGCUCCCAACACACUCUUUGGAGUACCUGAGAUGCAGGAUACGCCGCCCUGCCGAUUA